rnacentral:rRNA from 1 species
AGUUAUCGUUUAUUUGAUAGUAACCUACUACAUGGAAUACCUGUGGAAAAUCUAGAGCUAAUACAUGCUAAAGCCCCAACUUCGGGAGGGGUGUGUUUAUUAGAUAAAAAGCCAACGCCCUUCGGGGCUUCUUGGUGAUUCAUGAUAACCUUUCUGAUCGCACGGCCCCGCGCCCGCGACGGUUCAUUCAAAUUUCUGCCCUAUCAACUUUCGAUGGUAGAGUAGUGGUCUACCAUGGUGUCAACGGGUAACGGGGAAUUAGGGUUCGAUUCCGGAGAGGGAGCCUGAGAAACGGCUACCACAUCCAAGGAAGGCAACAGGCGCGCAAAUUACACAAUGUCGACUCGACGAUGUAGUGACAAUAAAUACUGAUACAGGGCUCUUUUGGGUCUUGUAAUUGGAAUGAGUACAAUUUAAAUCUCUUAACGAGGAACAAUUAGAGGGCAAGUCUGGUGCCAGCAGCCGCGGUAAUUCCAGCUCUAAUAGCGUAUAUUAAAGUUGUUGCAGUUAAAAAGCUCGUAGUUGAACCUUUGGCUUGGCGGGGGCGUCCGCCUCACCGCGUGUUACGUGACCUGCCGAGCCUUUUUUUCUGGAGAACCGCAUGCCCUUCACUGGGUGUGUUGGGGACCAGGACUUUUACUUUGAAAAAAUUAGAGUGUUCAAAGCAGGCCUUUGCUCGAAUACGUUAGCAUGGAAUAAUGGAAUAGGACGUGCGGUCCUAUUUUGUUGGUUUCUAGGACCGCCGUAAUGAUUAAUAGGGACAGUCGGGGGCAUCAGUAUUCAAUUGUCAGAGGUGAAAUUCUUGGAUUUAUUGAAGACUAACUACUGCGAAAGCAUUUGCCAAGGAUGUUUUCAUUAAUCAGUGAACGAAAGUUAGGGGAUCGAAGACGAUCAGAUACCGUCGUAGUCUUAACCAUAAACUAUGCCAGCUGGGGAUCGGACGGUGUUUCUAUUGUGACCCGUUCGGCACCCUACGAGAAAUCAA